UAGGUCCCAAGGGUUGGGCUGUUCGCCCAUUAAAGUGGUACGCGAGCUGGGUUCAGAACGUCGUGAGACAGUUCGGUCCCUAUCCGUCGCAGGCGUAGGAAAUUUGAGAAGACCUGUCCUUAGUACGAGAGGACCGGGAUGGACGUACCUCUGGUGUACCAGUUGUUCUGCCAAGGGCAUGGCUGGGUAGCUAUGUACGGAAUGGAUAAGCGCUGAAAGCAUCUAAGCGCGAAGCCAACUUCAAGAUAAGAUUUCCCACCGCAAGGGUAAGACCCCAGAAAGACUAUCUGGUUGAUAGGUCGAAGGUGUAAGUGCAGCAAUGUAUUUAGCUUAUCGAUACUAAUAGGUCGAGGACUUGACCAAU
rnacentral:rRNA from 1 species